GGGGUGGUGGCGCAGUUGGCUAGCGCGUAGGUCUCAUAAUCCUGAGGUCGAGAGUUCAAGCCUCUCUCACCCCA
rnacentral:tRNA from 3 species